GAAGCCUGCCAGACCGCCGCUGGUGCAAUUUGGGAAACCAAGCACUGGAGGAACGUCCGGACUGUACAGGGCAGCGUAGCAGCUAACGGCUGUCCACUGACAAGCAUUGUGCGCAAGCGCAGUGCCCUAAGGUGAGGAUCAGAGCAACAGAGACGAGUCAGAUCGGACAUCGUCCGAUCUGGGUGAAACGGGCAAUCUCUACGCGCAGCAAUACCAAGUAGGCCAACGUUGAUGGGGCCCCCAGAGUUGGCGGGUAGGUAGCAUCGAGCUGGUGGGGUGACCCCCAGCCCAGAGUAAUGGCGGUCACGUUGAGGGAAACCUCAACGCACAGAAUCCGGCUUAUAGGUGGGCUUCACAC
rnacentral:RNase_P_RNA from 1 species